UUAAAUGGAUCAUACCAUGUUAAAUUAUGAAAAAAGAAACUAAUAGCAUUCGGCGAAUUCAGCUCAUUAACAACUACAGGAAAUUAAAUUGACGUACCUCCCAGAGUCCUGAGAAAGUUGUGGAUAGCGGUCAGUGACAAGAGCAUAUUGUUGUCUGCUUCAGCCUCUGGAUGAAUUCGAGCUCCAAGGUGAUCCAGUUGGGCAAUGGCAGUGAAUUCCAGAUUAAAUCUCGGGUAAGUGAUUACCAAGAUCCAAGCUUGAUACAGAUUUGAUGCAAAUCAUCAGUUGUUAGGAUGAGGCAUGCUACACUUGAUGCCCUUCCCCCACAGUGGAGGAUGGAUGAGCACAUCUCUGCAAUAUGUAAUGGUACAUCCGUCCGGAGCUGCUCUGAAGAAACCUGACCUGGUUCAACUUUAUGGAGGAAGUUACAGCUUGUUUAUACUGAUAUGAUGGACUCUAGAACCUAUAAUCGUAAUUCCAGUUAACUGUCCUCGAUCUUUAUUAUGUAUACCUUUAGUCAGAAUGGAGAUAUUAAUGGAAAUCCAGUCUUUUUACGACUUGCCUUAACCAUUCAUCUCUGGUAAUUAUUAUUUUUUUAUUAUCUUAACAAACCAUCCUUUGUAUGCUAAGAAGUCAGUGUUGUCAUCGUUCAUAAUUGUUUUGCUAAAAAAAUUUUUUCCACACUUUGUUGUCCCUUUUUAUGUUCGUAAUUGUCUUUCAUCAGCAUGGCAUUGAUUUGAAAGUUACAUUUUCCACAUACAACCUCCUGAAAUGUAUUGGGUAGGAGGGCCUAGAGGUAUGGAGCCACGGUUCACUGGUAUGUGUACAAUGCAUACCCUAGUUGCAUACCAAUUUCUGCCCAUUUAUUCUGGACUGCUACCCAGGGAGUUGAAACAGCCGUAGGUACUGAGACAUGGUCUGCUGACAUGUGGAUAUACCUUGGCUUUGUUUUUACUCCUCAGAUACCUGCCAGUGUCACCUGUAAAUUUGAAGGCAUGCUCGUCUAAAGGUAUUCUCAGACCAUUAUACAUGUCUAAAGAACGCCUUUGGACGCACAUGCCAUUAUUUAGUAAUACUGGUGGCCAGUGAGGCAGGCUGUGGGUCCUGUUAAGAGGGCGACAGACGGACGCGAAUAGAGUGGGGGUUACUCGUCUUGCGUUCGAAAUGGUCUGUAGUUGCCUAGCUUCUU